AAUGGAAUAGUUUAAUUAAAAAUAUCAGAUUUGCAUUCUGAAGAUGGAUAUUUAUUCUUUUGUUA
rnacentral:tRNA from 1 species